rnacentral:rRNA from 1 species
UGAGUAACGCGUAUCCAACCUGUCGUCUACUCUUGGACAGCCUUCUGAAAGGAAGAUUAAUACAAGAUGGCAUCAUGAGUCCGCAUGUUCACAUGAUUAAAGGUAUUCCGGUAGACGAUGGGGAUGCGUUCCAUUAGAUAGUAGGCGGGGUAACGGCCCACCUAGUCUUCGAUGGAUAGGGGUUCUGAGAGGAAGGUCCCCCACAUUGGAACUGAGACACGGUCCAA